AGAGUUUGAUCAUGGCUCAGGAUAAACGCUGGCGGCGUGCCUAACACAUGCAAGUCGAACGCUCUGCGCAAGCAGAGAGUGGCGGACGGGUGAGGAACACGUGGGUCAUCUACCUUGAGGUGAGGAAUACCGGCGAGAAAUCGCCGACAAUACCGCAUGGCCUUGGGAAACCGAGGAAAGCUCGCAAGGGCGCCACAAGA
rnacentral:rRNA from 1 species